rnacentral:rRNA from 1 species
AACGAACGCUGGCGGCAUGCCUAACACAUGCAAGUCGAACGGGAUCCGAGCUUCGGUUCGGUGAGAGUGGCGGACGGGUGAGUAACGCGUGGGAACCUGCCCAGUGGUGGGGGAUAACUGCGGGAAACUGCAGCUAAUACCGCAUGAGCCCGAGAGGGGAAAGAUUUAUCGCCAUUGGAGGGGCCCGCGUUCGAUUAGGUAGUUGGUGAGGUAACGGCUCACCAAGCCUUCGAUCGAUAGCUGGUCUGAGAGGAUGAUCAGCCACACUGGGACUGAGAUACGGCCCAGACUCCUACGGGAGGCAGCAGUGGGGAAUAUUGGACAAUGGGGGGCAACCCUGAUCCAGCAAUGCCGCGUGAGUGAUGAAGGCCUUCGGGUUGGUAAAGACUCUUUGUCCAGGGACGAUGAUGACGGUACCUGGAGAAUAAGACCCGGC